UACGGGGGGGGCAAGCGUUGUUCGGAAUUACUGGGCGUAAAGGGCUCGUAGGCGGCCAACUAAGUCAAACGUGAAAUCCCUCGGCUUAACCGGGGAACUGCGCUUGAUACUGGAUGGCUUGAGAUUGGGAGAGGGAUGCGGAAUUCCAGGUGUAGCGGUGAAAUGCGUAGAUAUCCGGAGGAACACCGGUGGCGAAGGCGGCUUCCUGGACCGACACUGACGCUGAGGCGCGAAAGCUAGGGGAGCAAACGGG
rnacentral:rRNA from 1 species